rfam:Oleiphilus sp. HI0065 HI0065_c8, whole genome shotgun sequence.
AGAGCUUGCUGGGCAAUCGCCUUACUUUGUGAGGAGGAAAGUCCGGGCUCCAUAGAGCAGAGUGCCAGGUAACGCCUGGGGGGCGUGAGCCUACGGAAAGUGCAGCAGAAAGUGUACCGCCUAAGCUAUCUUGUAUAGCCGGUAAGGUUGAAAAGGUGCGGUAAGAGCGCACCGCGCGACUGGCAACAGUUCGUGGCGAUGGUAAACCCCACUCGGAGCAAGACCAAAUAGAAAUCCGAUGGCGUGGCUCGCGCUGGAUUUGGGUAGGUUGCUUGAGCUAGUUGGUGACGGCUAGCCUAGAUGAAUGAUUGUCCUCGACAGAACCCGGCUUACAGGCAAGCUCUUUUU